rnacentral:ncRNA from 1 species
AUGAAGUUCAUACUGAAAUUUAUUUCCAAAAGGGAAACAUAGAAAGGCUUUGGUCUUUGGGUUUCAUGUUUCCUCGCUCACUCAAUGGAGAAAGGAUCGGGCCGACGCCUAGCGGUGGUUCAUUAUCUGGUGCGAAGCGCGCGAUACAUGUCGAGCGUCUUAGCGGGCGCCGACGCAGCCGAUGCGUGCGACCCUUAGUCGAGAACAGUGUCGGUCAGGGAGUUUGACUGGGGUGGUACGUCUGUCAAACGGUAACGCAGGUGUCCCAAGGCGAGCUCAUCGUGGACGGAAGGAAACCACACGUGCGAGCAAAAGGGCAAAAGCUCGCUUGGUCUCGAUUUUCAGUAUGGAUACGGACCGCGAAAGCGUGACCCAUCGAUCUUUUUCCGAACAGCGGCGAGCUAUGCGUCCGCCGAGAGGUGUCAGAAACGUUACCAAAGGGAUAACUGGCUUGUAACGGCCAAGCGUUCGCAGCGACGUCGCUUUUUGAUCCUUUGAUGUUGGCUCUUCCUAUCAUUGCGAAGCAGAAUUCGCAAAGCGCUGGAUUGUUCACCCACUAACAGGGAACGUGAGCCAGGAUUAGACCGUCGUGAGACAGGUUAGUUUU